rnacentral:rRNA from 1 species
CACUUCUAAGGAAGGCAGCAGGCGCGCAAAUUACCCAAUCCUGACUCAGGGAGGUAGUGACAAGAAAUAACAAUAAACCGGCUUAUGCCGGUUUAAUUGGAAUGAGUACAAUUUAAACAUCUUAACGAGGAACAAUUGGAGGGCAAGUCUGGUGCCAGCAGCCGCGGUAAUUCCAGCUCCAAUAGCGUAUACUAAAGUUGUUGCAGUUAAAAAGCUCGUAGUUGGAUUUCUGUGGGGACGGAGCGGCCGGCCGCAACUCGCGGUUCGAGCUAGCGCUUUCCCUACAUCCUGCCGCGAACCGUGCUACCAUUAGUUUGGUGGCGCCGGGGAUCGGCUCGAUUACUUUGAGAAAAAUAGAGUGUUCAAAGCAGGCCACAUGCCUUGAAUAAGUUAGCAUGGAAUAAUAACUAAGGACUUCGGUUCUAUUUUGUUGGUGUUCGGGACUGAAGUAAUGAUUGAUAGGGACAGUUGGGGCGGUCUGUAUUCCAAAGCGAGAGGUGAAAUUCUUAGACCUUCGGAAGACAAACAGCUGCGAAAGCGUUCCGCAAGGAUGUUCCCUUUGAUCAAGAACGAAAGUUGGGGGAUCGAAGACGAUCAGAUACCGUCGUAGUCUCGACUAUAAACUAUACCAGCUAGGGAUCGGCCAACGUUAUUUCAAACCGACUUGGUCGGCACCUUAUGAGAAAUCAAAGCAUCUGGGUUCCGGGGGGAGUAUGGUCGCAAGGCUGAAACUUAAAGGAAUUGACGGAAGGGCACCACCAGCCGUGGAGCCUGUGGCUUAAUUUGACUCAACACGGGAAAACUUACCAGGUCCAGACAUAGUAAGGAUUGACAGAUUGAUAGCUCUUUCUUGAUUCUGUGGGUGGUGGUGCAUGGCCGUUCUUAGUUGGUGGAGUGACUUGUCUGGUUAAUUCCGUUAACGAACGAGACCCCAGCCUGCUAAAUAGCGCGCGUGAGCUUUGCUCGCGGCGAGCUUCUUAGAGGGACUAUGAUGCGCGAUAGCACAUGGAAGUUUGGGGCAAUAACAGGUCUGUGAUGCCCUUAGAUGUUCUGGGCCGCACACGGGCUACACUGGCGCCUGCAACGAGCAUAUCAGCUGGCCCGAGAGGGUCUUGGCUAAUCUUUUGAACCGGCGCCGUGCUUGGGAUUGACCUUUGCAAUUGUUGGUCAUGCAACGAGGAAUGCCUUGUAAACGCGAGUCAUCAGCUCGCAUUGAAUACGUCCCUGCCCUUUGUACACACCGCCCGUCGCUCCUACCGAUGAAUGUUCCGAUGAAAUUUUCGGAGAGCACCUGUGAACUUGGCUCUGCCUUGCGAACGGGAGGCUCAAAGUCACUUAAAUCUGAACAUUUCGA